UACGUAGGGACCGAGCGUUGUCCGGAAUCACUGGGCGUAAAGGGUGCGUAGGCGGCCGUGCAAGUCUGGUGUGAAAGCCCCGGGCUCAGCCCGGGAAGUGCGCUCGAAACUGCGCGGCUGGAGUGCCGGAGGGGAGAGUGGAAUUCCUGGUGUAGCGGUGAAAUGCGUAGAUAUCAGGAGGAAUACCUGUGGCGAAAGCGGCUCUCUGGACGGCAACUGACGCUGAGGCACGAAAGCGUGGGGAGCAAACAGG
rnacentral:rRNA from 1 species